GUUGGAUACUGCACAAUAUGGAAGAAACAAAAGAUACAAGAAAUACAGGAACCAUUGCAAGAGGAGGUAGAGGAGAUAAAGGAACAACCUCAUGAUACAAAGGAAGAGAGAGUAGCAAGACUGGAGGAGAAAGAAACAAAAGGAGCAACACCUCAAUCAGUAAUUAAUCAAGAUAUACUAUCAAGUGAUACAAGAGUGACAAUAAUUAAUAGACAAUUAAUAAAAGAUAUUAAAACAAACAAACAAUUAGAAGAAAC